rnacentral:rRNA from 1 species
UACGGAAGGUGCAAGCGUUGUUCGGAAUGACUGGGCGUAAAGCGCACGUAGGUGGGUCUGUAAGUCGGACGUGAAAGCCCAGGGCUUAACCCUGGAACUGCGUCCGAAACUGCGGAUCUUGAAUGCCCGAGAGGUUGGUAGAAUUCCUGGUGUAGCGGUGAAAUGCGCAGAUAUCAGGAGGAACACCGGUGGCGAAGGCGGGUCUCUGGGGAAACAACUGACGCUGAGGAACGAAAGCGUAGGGUAGCGAAACAGGAAUUAGAAACCCGU